AAGCCGGGUUACAAUGCGCAACUAUGCACUAACCUAGAACCUACAAAGGGUGUUGGUCGAUUAAGACAGUAGGACGGUGGUCAUGGAAGUCGAAAUCCGCUAAGGAGUGUGUAAUAACUCACCUGCCGAAUCAACUAGCCCCGAAAAUGUAUGGUGCUUAAGCGAGCGACCUAUACCCAGCCGUUGGGGCAAGAGCCAGGCCCCGAUG
rnacentral:ncRNA from 1 species